UACGAAGGGGGCUAGCGUUGCUCGGAAUGACUGGGCGGAAAGGGCGCGUAGGCGGCUCAUACAGUCAGAUGUGAAAUUCCUGGGCUUAACCUGGGGGCUGCAUUUGAUACGUGUGGGCUUGAGUGGGGAAGAGGGUCGUGGAAUUCCCAGUGUAGAGGUGAAAUUCGUAGAUAUUGGGAAGAACACCGGUGGCGAAGGCGGCGACCUGGUCCUUGACUGACGCUGAGGCGCGAAAGCGUGGUGAGCAAACAGG
rnacentral:rRNA from 1 species